UAUCAACAAACAAAGGCUACUAUACAUCACACCUCUAUAUAAACAAUAUCUCACAGUCAGACGCUGGUAGAUUCACUUGCCGUGCCACUGGUCAUCGUAAGAAGAUUCUCGAGGAAGAGCACUUUUAUCUGAAUGUAUACCAAUCAAUCAUCUACGUUGAUUGUCCAACGGUUCAAAUCCUGAGAAAAAACAGUUCCGGCCUGAUAAGAUGCGUGGUUGAUGCCACCCCUGCCGUGGUGGUGUCUUGGCGGUUAAAAGGACGCUAUAUAUACGAUGGACCCACCUAUGCUCAAGAACGAAAUGGUCUCAGAAUAUUGAACGUGACCGCUGAAGAUGCUGGUAUCUACACAUGUAUAUCAGAAGUGACCUCUUUGGGGAACUUUCGAACUCGAGACAUCACAGUUAGAGUCAUAGCUCCUAAGGGGACCAGCGAUGAAGUUAGACGGUGAACGUUUGUACCAGCCCGCUAUGACAAAGAAUAGUGUAUCUUCUGGAUGGCCAUAAACAGCUUGCCUGCCGCCGACAUCACAACUGAAUCAUGUCAUCUGUCCAUGUUAUCUACUUUCAAUAUCACAUAGAACAGUCUUCAACAAUUUAAUGACAUUUCGUGAGUGUGUAUACAUAAUAUACACGCACAUAUUUAAGAAAUAUAAUAUACAUUACACACAGACACACACAUAUAA
rnacentral:lncRNA from 1 species